rnacentral:lncRNA from 1 species
AGGCAGUAGAUGAGGUUAAGGGUUCCUGUGGUGGUUUAUUUGGUAUGUGAAGAGCCUAACUGUUGGCUGGCCCAUGGUGUUCUCCUGUGGUUCAUUAUGGAGGCUUCUGGGUCACAGAACCCACAUAUGAGAGGGCAUCGGGAGGAUCUGGAUGAUGGGGUGGGAGAUGCUGGAUUGGUGGUUUGGUUCUCAGGUGGCUCCUAGAGGAGCCGCAGUAUGGAAACCACUGGCCUGCUCCUGCCUCUGAGAAAAUGAAGCUGGAGGAAAAGAUGUAAAGAUGUAUUUUUUCCAAACUUGCGAUGUUUUAUACAGAAUCUUUCUUAGUGCUUCCACAUAGUUAUUGAAGUGAGACUGGGCAUGAUUCAGAAAAGUUGGAAGAUCUAGAGAGGGAUCUUGCAAUCUGAAGUUUCUUGUUUAGUCACUGGAGGAUCUGAACGUCUAUGACACUCUUUCGAGCUGACACAGUGAAGAACAUAGAAGGAGAACUCACCCAGUCUGCCAGGGUCACAGAAUGAUCAUACUCAAGAUCUUCCUGGGGAGUCAAUGGCAAAUUUCACU